CUACGGGAGGCACCAGUGAGGAAUAUUGCACAAUGGGGGGAACCCUGAUGCAGCAACGCCGCGUGGAGGAUGACGCAUUUCGGUGUGUAAACUCCUUUUAUAUGUCAAGAAAAUGACGGUAGCAUAUGAAUAAGCACCGGCUAGCUCCGUGCCAGCAGCCGCGGUAAUAACGGAGGGUGCAAGCGUUACUCGGAAUCACUGGGCGUAAAGGACGCGUAGGCGGGUUGGAAAGUCAGGUGUGAAAUCCUACAGCUUAACUGUAGAACUGCACUUGAAACUUCUAAUCUAGAGUAUGGGAGGGGGAGAUGGAAUUAGUGGUGUAGGGGUAAAAUCCGUAGAUAUCACUAGGAAUACCUAAAGCGAAGGCGAUCUCCUGGAACAUUACUGACGCUAAGGCGUGAAAGCGUGGGGAGCAAACAGGAUUAGAUACCCUCGUAGUC
rnacentral:rRNA from 1 species